rnacentral:rRNA from 1 species
CCAGUGCACUUUCACAGAGUGGUCACCACGACCGGCAUUGCUGUCUGGCUGUUGUGGUUAAACCGGCCUUUCUUUGUCCUUGUGGCUUUGGAUUGUCGGGAUGGCAGGUAGCUCGCUAGCUUGGCUUGUGGCUCGCUGCAGGUUUUGGCUCUCGGGUGUAAUCAGCUGACCGCAUCGGUUCUGUGCAGUAUGUCGGAGAUGGCGGCUUGUGGUACAUGCGUGCGUGCUAGUUGGUUGGCGUGUCCGGGUUUGGUUG